CCGAGUUUACAACUCCCAAACCCCUGUGAACAUACCUUAUGUUGCCUCGGCGGAUCAGCCCGCGCCCCGUAAAACGGGACGGCCCGCCGCAGGAAACCCUAAACUCUGUUUUUAGUGGAACUUCUGAGUAUAAAAAACAAAUAAAUCA
rnacentral:misc_RNA from 1 species